rnacentral:lncRNA from 1 species
UGCGUCGGUCUAUCCGGAUUGAUCACCAUCCUUAUGAUAAUCCUAUGAUUGAAAGUAUUUAAGAAUUAAAUAUAUGUCUCUAAUUCUCAACACCUUGAGAAUAUGUAUUAAAAGUUAAUUCCAUGGAUAAUUCAAGGACACAUCACAUUUGAAUGAAAAAUAAACUUGCUCUUUUAUUGAUUAUAUCAAUGUAUUAAGUACAAAAUAUAUCCUAAAGUUAUUACAAUGUGUCAGCCAUAUUAGCUUCUAGGACAUACAUCUAACAUCUUGCUCA